AUCAGCCUUUUGGGCAUGAUUCUGUGGAGCGUGAGGAGUUAAACGCCUUCAUGCCUGCAUAUUCGUGUACUUUGGGUGUACUUGCCUGUGUGGUUAGUUAACAUCAAUUUUGGUUAUCAUAAAAUGGCUGGAGGAAUGUAGCUUCGAUCUCGUAUUGAAGUGUUAUAGCCUUCGGCAGAUGUGAUGAUCGGGAUUGAGGAUUGCAACGGAUACCCUUCGGGGCUACCUGUCUGAUCUCUGAUCGUUGCUCUGGUGCCGAAAGCGUGCUUACGGUUAUCAAAGUCGAUGGUCAACAGGUUAGAACGGGUUAAAUUCGUUAAGGAUGUUGACGUAAUGGCUUU
rnacentral:rRNA from 1 species